GGUCAAGUGAAGAAGCGCAUACGGUGGAUGCCUUGGCAGUCAGAGGCGAUGAAAGACGUGGUAGCCUGCGAAAAGCUUCGGGGAGUCGGCAAACAGACUGUGAUCCGGAGAUGUCUGAAUGGGGGAACCCAGCCAUCACAAGAUGGUUAUCUUACACUGAAUACAUAGGUGUAAGAGGCGAACCAGGGGAACUGAAACAUCUAAGUACCCUGAGGAAAAGAAAUCAACCGAGAUUCCCUUAGUAGUGGCGAGCGAACGGGGACCAGCCCUUAAGUUGUAUUGAGAUUAGCGGAACGCUCUGGAAAGUGCGGCCAUAGUGGGUGAUAGCCCUGUACGCGAAAAUCCCUUUGCAAUGAAAUCGAGUAGGACGGGGCACGAGAAACCUUGUCUGAAUAUGGGGGGACCAUCCUCCAAGGCUAAAUACUACUGACUGACCGAUAGUGAACCAGUACCGUGAGGGAAAGGCGAAAAGAACCGCGGAGAGCGGAGUGAAAUAGAUCCUGAAACCGUAUGCGUACAAGCAGUGGGAGCCCACUUUGUUGGGUGACUGCGUACCUUUUGUAUAAUGGGUCAGCGACUUAUUUUCAGUGGCGAGCUUAACCGAAUAGGGGAGGCGUAGCGAAAGCGAGUCUUAAUAGGGCGUCUAGUCGCUGGGAAUAGACCCGAAACCGGGCGAUCUAUCCAUGGGCAGGUUGAAGGUUGGGUAACACUAACUGGAGGACCGAACCGACUACCGUUGAAAAGUUAGCGGAUGACCUGUGGAUCGGAGUGAAAGGCUAAUCAAGCUCGGAGAUAGCUGGUUCUCCUCGAAAGCUAUUUAGGUAGCGCCUCAUGUAUCACUGUAGGGGGUAGAGCACUGUUUCGGCUAGGGGGUCAUCCCGACUUACCAAACCGAUGCAAACUCCGAAUACCUACAAGUGCCGAGCAUGGGAGACACACGGCGGGUGCUAACGUCCGUCGUGAAAAGGGAAACAACCCAGACCGUCAGCUAAGGUCCCAAAGUCAUGGUUAAGUGGGAAACGAUGUGGGAAGGCUUAGACAGCUAGGAGGUUGGCUUAGAAGCAGCCACCCUUUAAAGAAAGCGUAAUAGCUCACUAGUCGAGUCGGCCUGCGCGGAAGAUGUAACGGGGCUCAAACCAUGCACCGAAGCUACGGGUAUCACCUUUGGUGAUGCGGUAGAGGAGCGUUCUGUAAGCCUGUGAAGGUGAGUUGAGAAGCUUGCUGGAGGUAUCAGAAGUGCGAAUGCUGACAUGAGUAACGACAAUGGGUGUGAAAAACACCCACGCCGAAAGACCAAGGUUUCCUGCGCAACGUUAAUCGACGCAGGGUUAGUCGGUCCCUAAGGCGAGGCUGAAAAGCGUAGUCGAUGGAAAACAGGUUAAUAUUCCUGUACUUCUGGUUAUUGCGAUGGAGGGACGGAGAAGGCUAGGCCAGCCUGGCGUUGGUAGUCCAGGUUUAAGGUGGUAGGCUGAGAUCUUAGGUAAAUCCGGGAUCUUAAGGCCGAGAGCUGAUGACGAGUGUUCUUUUAGAACAUGAAGUGGUUGAUGCCAUGCUUCCAAGAAAAGCUUCUAAGCUUCAGGUAACCAGGAACCGUACCCCAAACCGACACAGGUGGUUGGGUAGAGAAUACCAAGGCGCUUGAGAGAACUCGGGUGAAGGAACUAGGCAAAAUGGCACCGUAACUUCGGGAGAAGGUGCGCCGGUGAGGGUGAAGCAUUUACUGCGUAAGCCCACGCCGGUCGAAGAUACCAGGCCGCUGCGACUGUUUAUUAAAAACACAGCACUCUGCAAACACGAAAGUGGACGUAUAGGGUGUGACGCCUGCCCGGUGCCGGAAGGUUAAUUGAUGGGGUUAGCGCAAGCGAAGCUCUUGAUCGAAGCCCCGGUAAACGGCGGCCGUAACUAUAACGGUCCUAAGGUAGCGAAAAUCCUUGUCGGGUAAGUUCCGACCUGCACGAAUGGCGUAACGAUGGCGGCGCUGUCUCCACCCGAGACUCAGUGAAAUUGAAAUCGCUGUGAAGAUGCAGUGUAUCCGCGGCUAGACGGAAAGACCCCGUGAACCUUUACUAUAGCUUUGCACUGGACUUUGAAUUUGCUUGUGUAGGAUAGGUGGGAGGCUUUGAAGCGUGGACGCCAGUCUGCGUGGAGCCAACCUUGAAAUACCACCCUGGCAACUUUGAGGUUCUAACUCAGGUCCGUUAUCCGGAUCGAGGACAGUGUAUGGUGGGUAGUUUGACUGGGGCGGUCUCCUCCUAAAGAGUAACGGAGGAGUACGAAGGUGCGCUCAGACCGGUCGGAAAUCGGUCGUAGAGUAUAAAGGCAAAAGCGCGCUUGACUGCGAGACAGACACGUCGAGCAGGUACGAAAGUAGGUCUUAGUGAUCCGGUGGUUCUGUAUGGAAGGGCCAUCGCUCAACGGAUAAAAGGUACUCCGGGGAUAACAGGCUGAUACCGCCCAAGAGUUCAUAUCGACGGCGGUGUUUGGCACCUCGAUGUCGGCUCAUCACAUCCUGGGGCUGAAGCCGGUCCCAAGGGUAUGGCUGUUCGCCAUUUAAAGUGGUACGCGAGCUGGGUUUAGAACGUCGUGAGACAGUUCGGUCCCUAUCUGCCGUGGACGUUUGAGAUUUGAGAGGGGCUGCUCCUAGUACGAGAGGACCGGAGUGGACGAACCUCUGGUGUUCCGGUUGUCACGCCAGUGGCAUUGCCGGGUAGCUAUGUUCGGAAAAGAUAACCGCUGAAAGCAUCUAAGCGGGAAACUUGCCUCAAGAUGAGAUCUCACUGGAACCUAGAGUUCCCUGAAGGGCCGUCGAAGACUACGACGUUGAUAGGUUGGGUGUGUAAGCGCUGUGAGGCGUUGAGCUAACCAAUACUAAUUGCCCGUGAGGCUUGACCAU
rnacentral:rRNA from 1 species